AGUGAACGCUGGCGGUAGGCCUAGCACAUGCAAGUCGAACGGCAGCACAGUAAGAGCUUGCUCUUACGGGUGGCGAGUGGCGGACGGGUGAGGAAUACAUCGGAAUCUACUUUUUCGUGGGGGAUAACGUAGGGAAACUUACGCUAAUACCGCAUACGACCUACGGGUGAAAGCAGGGGAUCUUCGGACCUUGCGCGAGUGAAUGAGCCGAUGUCGGAUUAGCUAGUUGGCGGGGUAAAGGCCCACCAAGGCGACGAUCCGUAGCUGGUCUGAGAGGAUGAUCAGCCACACUGGAACUGAGACACGGUCCAGACUCCUACGGGAGGCAGCAGUGGGGAAUAUUGGACAAUGGGCGAAAGCCUGAUCCAGCCAUACCGCGUGGGUGAAGAAGGCCUUCGGGUUGUAAAGCCCUUUUGUUGGGAAAGAAAAGCAGCAGGUUAAUACCCCGCUGUUCUGACGGUACCCAAAGAAUAAGCACCGGCUAACUUCGUG
rnacentral:rRNA from 1 species